rnacentral:rRNA from 1 species
UACGAAGGGUGCAAGCGUUAAUCGGAAUUACUGGGCGUAAAGGGUGCGUAGGCGGUUCGUUAAGUCUGUCGUGAAAUCCCCGGGCUCAACCUGGGAAUGGCGAUGGAUACUGGCGAGCUAGAGUGUGUCAGAGGAUGGUGGAAUUCCUGGUGUAGCGGUGGAAUGCGCAGAUAUCAGGAGGAACAUCAGUGGCGAAGGCGGCCAUCUGGGACAACACUGACGCUGAAGCACGAAAGCGUGGGGAGCAAACAGG